rnacentral:rRNA from 1 species
GACAAACGCUGGCGGCGUGCCUAAUACAUGCAAGUCGAACGAGUAGCAAUACUAGUGGCGCACGGGCGAGGAAUAAGUAGAUAAUCUGCCUUAAGCUGGGGGAUAACUAGUCGAAAGAUUAGCUAAUACCGCAUAAGACCACAGGAGCUGAGGCUCUAGGGGUUAAAGGAGUAAUCCGGCAUAAGAUGAGUCUGCUUCCGAUUAGCUAGUUGGUGAGGUAAUGGCUCACCAAGGCUAUGAUCGGUAGAUGGUCUGAGAGGAUGAUCAUCCGCACUGGAACUGAGACACGGUCCAGACUCCUACGGGAGGCAGCAGUAGGGAAUAUUGGACAAUGGGGGAAACCCUGAUCCAGCAACGCCGCGUGAGUGAUGAAGGCCUUCGGGUCGUAAAGCUCUGUCGCAGGGGAAGAAACAAAUGACGGUACCCUGUAAGAAAGGACCGGCCAACUUCGUG